rnacentral:rRNA from 1 species
AAUUGAAGAGUUUGAUCAUGGCUCAGAUUGAACGCUGGCGGCAGGCCUAACACAUGCAAGUCGAGCGGUAGCACAGAGAGCUUGCUCUCGGGUGACGAGCGGCGGACGGGUGAGUAAUGUCUGGGAAACUGCCUGAUGGAGGGGGAUAACUACUGGAAACGGUAGCUAAUACCGCAUAAUGUCGCAAGACCAAAGUGGGGGACCUUCGGGCCUCAUGCCAUCAGAUGUGCCCAGAUGGGAUUAGCUAGUAGGUGGGGUAACGGCUCACCUAGGCGACGAUCCCUAGCUGGUCUGAGAGGAUGACCAGCCACACUGGAACUGAGACACGGUCCAGACUCCUACGGGAGGCAGCAGUGGGGAAUAUUGCACAAUGGGCGCAAGCCUGAUGCAGCCAUGCCGCGUGUGUGAAGAAGGCCUUCGGGUUGUAAAGCACUUUCAGCGGGGAGGAAGGCGGUGAGGUUAAUAACCUCAUCGAUUGACGUUACCCGCAGAAGAAGCACCGGCUAACUCCGUGCCAGCAGCCGCGGUAAUACGGAGGGUGCAAGCGUUAAUCGGAAUUACUGGGCGUAAAGCGCACGCAGGCGGUCUGUCAAGUCGGAUGUGAAAUCCCCGGGCUCAACCUGGGAACUGCAUUCGAAACUGGCAGGCUAGAGUCUUGUAGAGGGGGGUAGAAUUCCAGGUGUAGCGGUGAAAUGCGUAGAGAUCUGGAGGAAUACCGGUGGCGAAGGCGGCCCCCUGGACAAAGACUGACGCUCAGGUGCGAAAGCGUGGGGAGCAAACAGGAUUAGAUACCCUGGUAGUCCACGCCGUAAACGAUGUCGAUUUGGAGGUUGUGCCCUUGAGGCGUGGCUUCCGGAGCUAACGCGUUAAAUCGACCGCCUGGGGAGUACGGCCGCAAGGUUAAAACUCAAAUGAAUUGACGGGGGCCCGCACAAGCGGUGGAGCAUGUGGUUUAAUUCGAUGCAACGCGAAGAACCUUACCUGGUCUUGACAUCCACAGAACUUAGCAGAGAUGCUUUGGUGCCUUCGGGAACUGUGAGACAGGUGCUGCAUGGCUGUCGUCAGCUCGUGUUGUGAAAUGUUGGGUUAAGUCCCGCAACGAGCGCAACCCUUAUCCUUUGUUGCCAGCGGUUAGGCCGGGAACUCAAAGGAGACUGCCAGUGAUAAACUGGAGGAAGGUGGGGAUGACGUCAAGUCAUCAUGGCCCUUACGACCAGGGCUACACACGUGCUACAAUGGCAUAUACAAAGAGAAGCGACCUCGCGAGAGCAAGCGGACCUCAUAAAGUAUGUCGUAGUCCGGAUUGGAGUCUGCAACUCGACUCCAUGAAGUCGGAAUCGCUAGUAAUCGUAGAUCAGAAUGCUACGGUGAAUACGUUCCCGGGCCUUGUACACACCGCCCGUCACACCAUGGGAGUGGGUUGCAAAAGAAGUAGGUAGCUUAACCUUCGGGAGGGCGCUUACCACUUUGUGAUUCAUGACUGGGGUGAAGUCGUAACAAGGUAACCGUAGGGGAACCUGCGGUUGGAUCACCUCCUUACCUUA